rfam:Populus trichocarpa scaffold_12_contig_185, whole genome shotgun sequence.
ACGACCUUACUUGAACAGGAUCUGUUCUAUAGGAUCGUACCUCUGUAUCCUUUAACACUAAGGAGACAGGAACCUAAGUCUGGCUGAUGAAUCAUGACCGUGUGAUCAUAGCGUGAGUAACGGCUUGAUGAUCAUUGUGAUCAUCAUGGCUAUGGAGGAUCGUUCUCCAGCCAUUGAUUUGGAUGGGGAUGAUCAUGCGGUUGUCUGACAGACU